GAAUAUGAGGCUAAUCUGGUUAUGACAUCUAUCACCCCAUUGAUCGCCAGGGUUGAUUGGGCUGAUCUAGCUGGCUAGGCAGGUGUCCCCUUCCUCUAUACCACUUCAUGUGUGUCCCUCCUGAAGCUGUGGAAGAGGACAACCUUCCCCAAAUAGAGGGGGACUGAUCAAGGGUAGCUGCUGCACUCCUCUGCUAGUUCCUCCAAGCAAGUUCUCAAGAUGACCUCUUCUUUAAUUACUGUCAUUACUUACGUUCUCU
rfam:Cricetulus griseus cell line CHO-K1, whole genome shotgun sequence.